GCCAGAAGCUAGCUCUCUGCAACUCUCACAUGGUCGCUCACUGAAGGUAAGCAGGGCUGAGGCUGGUCAGUACCUGAAUGUGAGACCACAUGGGAAGUCUAGAUUGCUGCCGGAA
rnacentral:rRNA from 1 species